AUGCCAUUAACAAACCGGGGAGAGCAUCGGUCAUCGAUGAGCUUGAGAGUAGAGGAAGAAAACAGAGAGGAGAGGAAAGGGGGAGAACUGAGAGCUUGGGAUCAACAAAGCUCCUGGUUCGUGCCACGAGCCGGGUCUAAUGGUGUUGGUGGGGUCCUGCUGAGUACAUCGGAUUAUGCAAUGAACAAGAUAAUGAUAACGGGAGACUUAAGUAUUUGUCGUAUUCCAGAAGACUUGAUCUCUGGGCUGGAAUACGGUGUGUUCCGCCGAGAUGCACGAGGGAAUCAUCCUAGGUUUGGCGUUAGUGACCGAGGAGGCGGCGACGCCGGCGAUGGUGCGCAAGCCGUGCAUGAGGCCAUGGCGACUCCACAAAGACUGCUCCGCUCUCCAGAACCCUCGACCGCAGUACGGACAAAUGGGGUUGUAGAAAUUCAGUUAGACAAAAGAGGCGGAGAGGUGUACAGGAUGUACGACGUAGGGGGUCAAAGAAAUGAGAGGAGGAAGUGGAUUAAUCUCUUUGAAGGUGUUAACGUCGUUAUGACUUGUGCAGCCAUUAGCGAGUACAAUCAAUUGUUAUUUGAGGACAAGACGCCGAACAGAAUGAUGGAGACCAAGGAGCUGUUUGACUGGGUGUUAAGGCAAAGAUGUUUGGAGAAAACAUCAUUCAUGCUGUUCCUCAACAAAUUCGACAUAUUCGAGAGGAAAAUACAAAAGGUCCCGUUGACCAUGUGCGAGUGGUUUAAAGACUAUGAGCCGAUUGCGCCUGGCAAAGGGAUGUUUGUGAAGAAGUUUGUGGAGGUCUACUUCAAGAGCAGCAAGCACGACCGUGUUGACCGGGUGUUCAAGAUCUAUAAAAUGAUGGCGUUGGACCGGAAACUUUUAAAGAAAACGUUCAGGCUGAUCGACGAGAGCAUGAGACGCUCAAAGGAGGGAAACGGGAGUGUGAUUGAUCAUUCUGUGCUUAAAUUUGAGUGGAACUUUUCUCACUAA
rnacentral:rRNA from 1 species